UACUUACUCAACAACACAAAUAUUAUCAGUGGAUCUCUCUCCAUCAUCAUUUUCAUCUUGUAUCAACCUAGGGUUUCUUUCUCUCUCUACAUUCAUCUCGAUCCCUCCUCCUCCUUCGAUCUGAUCAUCUCUCUCUCUCUCUCUCUCUCUCUCUCUCUCUCUUCAAUCGAGUUCUUUGAUUCAUCAAGUCAAUGGACGCGAUCGACGAAUUGGCUCAGCUAGCCGAUUCGAUGCGCCAAGCAUCUGCUUUGCUUGCCAACGAAUAUGUCGACGAAAACUCAUCGUCCUCACGCCGCGCUUCCACUUUCCUCAAUGUCAUUGCUCUCGGCAAUACUGUGAGUUGAUUGAUUUUAGAAUCAACGAUAUAUUGUAUCGAUGUUGAAAUUUGACGCUUUUGUUUAUUGAUUAGAUCUCUGGAUCUAGCUGCAUUUUUUGUCUUGAUUUUGAUUUGAAUAGGUGCAUCUGAAUCAGAUGUAGAGAGAAUUGUGUAUCGAUUUUUGGUGAACAAGUAGUUAGGAGAGAACUGAGUCAAAUCAGGCAUUUUUUUGUUGUGUUGAUUGUGUAAUUGCUUAUUGGAUAUCUUAUGAUCUUUGGUUAUUGUUGCUCUCUCAUCAUUUUGGUAGUAGUGCCUCAAAUAUUGUUGAUUCGAUGAAUUGAGUAGCAUUAUGAAUGUAAUUUGGUAUACUAGCUGAUGGUGCUGUUCACUUUGUUGUUAGAUUGAGUGAAUUGUACUGUCCUUGUGUGAAUUGUAAUUGGCAUUUUUUUUUAAUCUUUAAUUUUAAUUUUUAUCUUGUGCUUUAUGAGCUCAAAUUUCUAUUUUACUGUUUUAUUAAUAUGUAACAUGUAUGUGUGUAAGUGAAUUUUGUAACGAGUAUAACUAGUGUUUAUGAAAUCUCUGGUGAUUCUGGUUUGUUGAUACCACUCUUUUGUUUUAUUGCUCUAGCUUACACAUGCCACUUACACAUUUGAAUAUAACCUUUCAAGGAUUUUGUAGAAGCCAUCACAGUGUAAAGCUAUAUAGACUUUGAUUGGACUACAAUGGGCAGGAGUAUAUGAGCAGUUCAUCUAGAAGAUUUUAGAGGCUUAGGGUGUAUAUAAUAUUAACACAAUACAUUCAUUACACAGUCGAACUAUGAAACUCUGUUGUGUCUUUAGAGGCUUAUGUGUACAAGUUGCAUCCCCUUGAUGCUUAUUAAUGAUAGCUUAUAUAUAUGUACAUAAAUUCUACAAAUAUUGUUAAGAGCUUUUUAACCUAGGCCUUAAUUGAGCCUUGUAGGUCUUUAAUGGACAUCAUCAUCUUUCUUGAUUUAAUGAGUCUCCUUCCUUACUGUCACUCUCCUCCCUUUGCACCAAGUUUCUUGUAGCUACAGUUAUCAUCUUGUACAUGGUGGAACUAAAACAACUUAAUAUUGACAAUAAUUUGUUGUUUAUAUAUUCUCUCCGUGUAUGAAGAAACAGCUGGGUUGAUCAUCAAUAAUCUUGUUAUGUUUUUUACAAUAUUAUUGUUAGAACUUUUGAGUAGUUAUAGAUCAAACAUUAAAUGCACUAACAUUUAUCUUGUCCAUUGAUAUUACAGCCUCUGUCGGUGGAGUUAGGUCCUGGAAUCUUGGGGAAUAUAUUUGAUGGUAUUCAGAACUCCAAUGGGACCAACGAUAUGCUUGGAAAGUGUGAACAGGUUUUUGUUUUGGGUUGAUGUUGGAUUGAAGGGAAAUGCAAAAAUCUUGUAUAGGUAUUGAUAACAAAUUUUGUGCUUGAUGAACAUUUCAAUUUUUCUUGGACUUGAUGAAUGUCGCGCGAGUGGAGUCCAAAUUGUGAGUAUUUGCGUUCAGAAUUACUUUUUCCAGUCAGGUGAAUGACUUAAGAUGUAACUUGAACAUAAUUAAUGCUGCUGCUAGAGAGGUAAAAGAAUCUGCAAAAUUGCGUCAAGUAAUGUAGACGAUUCUCACUAUAGGAAAUGAAUUGAACCAAGGCACUGCUUGAGGUAUUAUUCUGUAUUAAAGCUGAAGGACUUCACUGGAAGGGAGAAGCCUAUAGAUAUCACUUAAAUUUGAGUGUCUGAUGUUAAUCUCACACAAUGAGGCUUCACUAGUAACAAUGUGAAAGCAGGUGGAUCCCCAAGAUAUUGUUAUGGUAUGUGGAUAUAUUUACAUACUCUGAACCUGCUAUAAAUCAUAAAACACAAAAUGAUUUAUAUAAUUACACUGUUCUACAAAUUUUGUCAUGUAGGAUUAAAUUUUUUAUCCUUUGAUCUGUGAUAAACUCUAAAAUUUCAAAGAAUUUGCAGAAUUCCUUGGAAGAGUGUGGUAGAAGUAUUAUUUAUUUAUUUUUAUUUUUUUGAAGAUCUUAAUUUGUUGUAGGGAUAUGUGGUUUUAGAAAUGGAACAAUUUGUUUUCUGCAUGUUCAUGUCUUGGAAUAAUUAUCAAUUUUUAAAUGGAGAUGACAACUCUCUUCUGGCUAUUAAUUUGUUUUUCUGCAUGGUCAUGUCUGAUGAUGAGUUAACUGCUGAAAUCUUUCAACACGUGAGUUUUCCUAUAUUUAAGGGCACGGAUAAAAUGUUUGCAUAACUCUGUUCCUUCUCCUGAUCAUUGUUGCCCUGUAAUGAUAGUUCAUAUUCAGCUAUCUUAAGAUAUUUGGUCCAUUUUUUCCAUGAGAAUUGAUUAUUCAAUCAAGGUGGUUAUUCUUUUUCUAUUGAAGCAGGAGGAUGAAGAGUCCGUAUGAUGAGAAAAAGUCCGAUUGUAUCUUUUUUCAGAAAUUUCUUGGAGAGAUGCAAAAUAUGGUCAAAGAAU